CUCUCCGGCGACUCCUUUUUUUCCCUUCUGCCCCGUCUUCUUCUCAUUCUCCUCCGUCGCCGUCCCCCGGUUCCUCGCGAUGUUCCGAGUCUGAUCCUCUUUCUCUCGCUCGGCGCGAGUCCGCGUCGCGACAGGUUCGCCGGCCAGCGGCUCGUUAGACCGGCAGCUUCGCGCGGAUGCAGAUUUUCCGGAGGUUCGUCGGGGAAAUUCCGCUGGGCAGUCGGUUUUCCGGGAACCGCGCCGCGUCCGCCGGUCAGCGGAUCCUCCCGGUUUUCGCCGUUCGCGGAAUCUUUCGCGCGGACGGCCGAAAGCUGAUUCGGCGUGGGUCUGGGCGGAUCCGGACGGAAUCUGGGCUGGCGAUCGGCGGAAGUUUCGCGGCGGAUUUCGGCGGAAUCGCUCGUUAUCGGGGAAACUCGCGCGGCUGAACGGCAGCGAUGCUUUGGGAUUCUGUACGGUUGAUCUUGAUUUCUUUUUUAAUCGCCGAAUGGGUUCGGACUGUAGAGAAUGGGGAUUCUUGGGAGUUCGGGAAUGACUCGGUUCGGAGAUUCGGAAGUUCGAACUGCCGAAAGCGAUUCGAAGGGGCGAGAGGCGACGAGCGAGAGAGGGACUAGUUUCCGAGAAACGUAGCACGACGGAGUGAACGAUUCGCGAAAUCUAAGCAGAAAAUAUAGAAUAACAUUUUCUCUCCGCUUCGAAACGAUCGUGUUCGAAACACUGAGAACGAACCAAUACGUCUGUCCACGACACGCCAUUUCUACUAAAGAAUAUUCUACGUUUUUUACUUAUUUUUCCAUGCGCGUUUCACUCGUACAAUUUCAGGGACACAGGGUGAAUCGUUGAACCGCAAAAUCUCCUCGCGAACUGUUCGUGAUACACGAAAAAUGGUAUUCGAGACAUCAGUCGUACGGCUGCGAUCGAAAGUAGUCGAUCGGUUGGACAGCAAAUAAUUUAAGCGGUUCCCGCGCGACGAACAGUUCGCGAGGGAAUUUCGGCACAGUCGGGUGACCCACCCUGUACAUGCAUUUAUUGAUCGAGUCUAGGUUCGCUGCAAAACAGAAAUUGAGCCGCGGACGAGAGGAUACGCAACCGUGGAGCAGAAACCGGCGACCUCGGUCGAACCGUUUCGACCGGCGUUCAAAAUAACUCGAAAGCUAUCGAGUCAAGGUUGAACCGGAUCCAUUUAAACGCUCCCGAUACACACGUACAAAAAAGCGUGCGUGCGAGCGAGCGCGAGCGCGCGCGGUGCCGAUCGGCGACCGAAAACGUUUAAAAGCGUCGACCACGAAAACCGCUCGGGGAUUUCUGCGAACGUCUCGCCGGGACGGUCGUGCGUGUGUGGCCCGGUGGCAGCGCGCGGCGAGUUAAGCCGCGUUCCCAUGUGUGCGACGCGCGGCGCGAAAUUCUCUUACGGAACGAUUUAUCGGUUCCCCGAUCCCUCCCCGGUGUCCCGGGAUCCCGGGACGAGCGUCGUCUCGGAAUCGUUCGGGGAUGCGUUAUUAAAAUUAACAAACUUGUUGCUGGAAACGAGGGAGGACUUUGUAAAAUACGGGCACUCGCGUUCGAUGGCGUCGUUACUUACGCUGCACGGUUGUUUUGCAAAAAUAACGGGUCAUUACGCGGAGGACUUGUUUUAUAGGGAUUUUAUAGGUCGUUCCGCGGAGACUUGUUUCGCGAAAGUAAGGGCUAUUUGCAUGGGGACUCGUUCGGCGUAAGUAAGAGAUGAUUACACGGAGACAAAUCGUACCGCACGAGAGGUUUUAUGAAAAGAGAGAUUUACGAAGGGAGUGUUUCGGAUACCGGGAGGGUUAAUCGGGAAAUCGUGUAUACUCGGCUGUGAACACGCCUUUGACCAAUUUUUAGUCAUUACAGCGUGUCGUUUCUUUUAUUCGUUCUCGGACCCCUCCUUUUUAUCGUGGAGUUUUAUCUGUCCGUUAAUCUGUCCUCAAUUGCCGAAAUAUCGGGUUUCCGUUUAUAUUGCCGGUUAAUUAAUUUUUGCGGCCGGCGCGGAUCGGAUCGGAUCGGAUCGGAUCGAAUGGUUUUUGAUCAUCGGCAGUUACUUAUCGGGUUCGCCGGCUCGUUAAUUGGCUGUCGUGAGCGCUAAUUAACGGCUGAAUUACACGGUUAACAGGUUAACGGCGAAGAAGAGAGGUUCACGGGGGCCCGCCGAUAACGCGCGUGGGAACGGGGCUUAAGGAAACACGAACGGAUGUUGCACAGACUGACGGAAGAAUUUCCUGUCUCUAACCCCUUUGCGAUUGUAAUAUAGCUCCGUGUAUCGAUUACGACGACAGGAAUUGUUUCUUCUCAUCUUCCUUUUUUGUUUCUCUUUUCUUUUUCGUAUAGGAUCUUUCUACCUACGUAUACAUAGGGUUGAAUAAAUGAUUGGAUACCAAUGAACAGUUCUCUUUAUUCAGUCACAUCUCGGUACACUUAAGAACCUUACACAAUCGUUACGCGCACGUCCUCCUCGGUAUUCGAAUUGAAUAAAAAAUAAAAAACAGUUGAAUACAGGCUAAUUAUUAUUCUUCAUUCACCGUCGGAAUUUACUGCGAGGUAUUUACAUGAACAUUCGAGUAACGCUUAUUAGUAUACAGUCCUGGGAGCGAAGCUUAACGAUAAGACGGGCAUAAUUGUCGGAUAAACCGAGAACCGCUGGCUUAGUACAAAGUGGAGGCUAUAAAAUAUUUUAUUGAUGCCGAACAGUGUAUUACAUUAAGGAACAAGUGUUAUCGUGUUCCUCUCUUUAAACCAGAUACGCUCGGACACCGUUCAUUUUGUUAUUCUCUCGAAAUAACGUCCGCGCUUUACAGCCUCCAGUCCGCGAAUAACAGCCGUCGAUUAAUAUUAUUCGCGUUACGCUCGACCGUAAUAAAAGUACAAUCAGCUUAGAAUCAUCCUUCUGCAAACACGAUAAGCGUAUCUGGAUUAGUCAUCGCCUCGACUUCCACGCCAGCGUUUAACGACGCAUCGUUGACCUCGCCGACUAUCGUUCGAAAAAUUCGACUCUGUAAUUACCUAUCCGUCGAACUCUACGGUAGGAACUCGAUCGUUCACAGCGGCGGGCGGAAUUCGAAACCAUCAGGAUCAUCAGCUCGCAAAGUUUCCGCCGCGCUCGAUCGCGAAGGGCUCGACCGAUUCCCAAGCGCGAAGCGACCUUUGAGAUCUCCGCGCGGUUGAGCACCGCUGCGUCGCUUAUCGUCACACGAGAACAAGUCCGCGCCGCGCUCGAGUUUCUCGCGUGUAAGUUACGUCGAGGUUCGUCCAGUUAUCGACGAGCGUAACGUUUCACGACCAAGCACCGGCGUCUCCCUAAAGCUACGUGCACAAUUGCAAUAUUUAUAAAAAUACAACGCUCUUUCCGUCGGAGCGUCGCUCGCUCGCGCGCUCGUUUCCCGGAUAACCAGUGAUUUACCCUUUCGACAAACUUACUCGCGUGUUUUAUACAUAUCUCUUUUUUAUUUACACGUGUAGAACAUCGAUCGUUGUUCCGGCCGGCAAGGGGAAACGACGCAGAACCUUCUCGCUCGUCGAUUUCUCGCGAAUAAUUGCGGAUACACGCGGCCGAGAAUCCGCGCGCCUUUGAUUUCACGCCUCGUUACCGCCGCUCGAAUUAUUCCACGUUGCUGGAUUAAUGGCGUUUCCUUUCCGCGAUUCUUGUCUCGGACGCUCGCCUCGUCUCAUUGGCAAUAGGAAAAUGCUCCGCGAAGUUUUCCUUAACCGCGCCGUGACUUGGAGUCUGAAUUUCAAUUUACCAAGGUUCGUUUGAUUCGGGAUUAAUAGAACGAUUAGUCUCUCGAGGAAACUUCUUAUUCUGAUUUCACACUGUAUAUACUUAUUCCUUCAGUGACGCAAUUGUCCUUAUUGUGUCAGCGAUACGAUGACAAUUCCAAGGAACUCGUAGCACGUAAUCGUUCUAUCGUCUACACUUUUCUACCAAUCGAAUGUUUCGCAAUGAUAGUUACUCUAGCAGACUCAGAACAAACGUCUCCUCCCCUUUUUUACAUCUCUCCUCUACACUCUCAUUAAUACCAUCGAGCCCGUCAGCGACGAGAGGAUCAAGAAAAACACAUCAGAGUGCAACCAGGACUCUCGCAGGAUCACAAGCGACCGAAUUGCUCAGACGAAUUAAGAGACAAGCGAUUAUAUUUCUAACAAUAUAUUGAGAGAGAAAAAAAGUAGAAAGAGCUUCGAGUUGGCGGAACAAGAGGUCCGGAUUAGAGUCGAAGGCGAUCUCGGGGAAUUUCCUGGACGAUCGGAUCUCGCACCUUCGACCGGCCGUCUAUUUUAAGCGGGGCCGAUUCGGCCGCUAUCCGAUUAAUUAAUACGCGGGGCCUUAUGCAAGCUUGAUGUUCGGGUGACUCAAAGGAAUUUCCCCGGGACGCGUUCGCUCUCUCGCGGUGAAAACCGGCGGGAGAAACGGACGAGACCGAACCGAGCGCGCAACCGGUUCGGGCGCGAGCGCGCAUCUCGUGGAUUUUAUUAACAGUACAAAUAACAGUCGACGACGAGCCUGCAGAACUGUCUCCAGAAGAAACCGCGAGAUUGGCCUGUAAAUGACGCUUAGACGGCACGGUAGACGCGAGAAAUAAAACACUUUUACGAACA